UGAAGAAAUAUGGCCGAACACGUUGCAGU
rnacentral:sRNA from 1 species